UUUAUUAUAUACCAUUACGUUGUAUAAAAUGUACUUGACAUGACUUUAAAUAUGCCGUCUUGGUAUUGCAUUGGUUCAAUAAUUAUAAUUGUUUUAGUGGCAGUGAAAUUGACUUAUUACAUUGUUACAGAUAUUAUACGAGUCUAUGGAUAACAAAUGUUCCAUGACGUCACCUUCGUCCAAGCAAAGGCGUUAUAAACUGUUGUCAGUGAAGCCAGAACCAAAGAGGUGUCGCACCAGUUAGUAGCUUACAGUCCAUGUUAUUGAAAGCCACAAAAACCUCUAUAGCAUUUUUAAUGAAUUCAAAUAAGACCAUUUGGUUUUGCCACCAGCCAUUAUACUCUUUCUAUUUAAUGAGUGAUUUGGUUUAAUCGG